rnacentral:rRNA from 1 species
GGGCCCGCACAAGCGGUGGAGCAUGUGGUUUAAUUCGAUGAUACGCGAGGAACCUUACCAGGACUUAAAUGUAAGUUGCAUGAUUCAGAAAUGAAUCUUUCUUCGGACUACUUACAAGGUGCUGCAUGGUUGUCGUCAGCUCGUGCCGUGAGGUGUCAGGUUAAGUCCUAUAACGAGCGCAACCCCUAUCGUUAGUUGCCAUCAAGUAAAGUUGGGAACUCUAGCGAAACUGCCGGUGUAAACCGAGAGGAAGGUGGGGAUGACGUCAAAUCAUCACGGCCCUUACGUUCUGGGCUACACACGUGCUACAAUGGUCGGUACAGAAAGCAGCCAACCCGCGAGGGUGAGCC